UACGUAGGUGGCAAGCGUUGUCCGGAUUUACUGGGCGUAAAGAGCGCGCAGGCGGUCGUUCAAGUCGCGUGUGAAAGCCCCCGGCUCAACUGGGGAGGGUCACGCGAUACUGAUCGACUCGAAGGCAGGAGAGGGUAGUGGAAUUCCCGGUGUAGUGGUGAAAUGCGUAGAGAUUUGGAGGAACACCAGUGGCGAAGGCGACUUUCUGGUCUGUAACUGACACUGAGGCGCGAAAGCGUGGGGAGCAAACAGGGA
rnacentral:rRNA from 1 species